GUGAGUAGUUCAGAGUUUGAUCCUGGCUCAGGAUGAACGCUAGCGGCAGGCUUAACACAUGCAAGUCGAGGGGCAGCGCGGAUGUUAGCAAUAACAUCUGGCGGCGACCGGCGCAAGGGUGCGUAACGCGUGAGCAACUUGCCCGUUUCUGGGGAAUAACCGGUGGAAACGCCGACUAAUACCCCAUAGUAUUGGAUAUAGGCAUCUUAAUCCAAUUAAAGAAUUUCGGAAACGGAUAGGCUCGCGUGACAUUAGCUAGAUGGCGGGGUAACGGCCCACCAUGGCGACGAUGUCUAGGGGUUCUGAGAGGAAGGUCCCCCACACUGGAACUGAGACACGGUCCAG
rnacentral:rRNA from 1 species